rnacentral:rRNA from 1 species
UACGAAGGGGGCUAGCGUUGUUCGGAAUUACUGGGCGUAAAGCGCGCGCAGGCGGCUUGGCAAGUCAGUGGUGAAAUCCCAGAGCUUAACUCCGGAAUUGCCUCUGAGACUGCUUGGCUUCGAGUACGGGAGAGGUGAGUGGAAUUCCCAGUGUAGAGGUGAAAUGCGUAGAUAUUGGGAAGAACACCGGUGGCGAAGGCGGCUCACUGGCCCGUUACUGACGCUCAGGCGCGACAGCGUGGGGAUCAAACAGG